rnacentral:misc_RNA from 1 species
AAGUCAUAACAAGGUAUCUGUAGGUGAACCUGCAGAUGGAUCAUUAGUGAAUAACAAGGGGUUCCCACUCUGUGGGCCCCAACCCUAUCACCAUAUCCACACACCUGUGCACCGCUAGUGAUGACCGAUGCGCAAGCAUCUUGUCAUUGCCGGCACCCUUUACACACACACAAAGUAAAUGAAUGUCACUGUAACUACGCAAGUAGAAACAAAAUACAACUUUUGACAACGGAUCUCUUGGUUCUCC